rnacentral:rRNA from 1 species
GACGAACGCUGGCGGCGCGCUUAAUACAUGCAAGUCGAGCGAGAACCGGAGCUUCGGCUCCGGGGACAGCGGCGAACGGGUGAGUAACACGUGGGUAACCUGCCCUCGGCACCGGGAUAGCCCGGGGAAACCCGGAUUAAUACCGGAUGGCCCUUCCGGUCUUCGGACCGGUCGGCAAAGGUAGCUUCGGCCUCCGGCCGGGCAUUGGCCCGCGGCGGAUUAGCUUGUUGGUGAGGUAACGGCUCACCAAGGCUCCGAUCCGUAGCUGGUCUGAGAGGACGAUCAGCCACACAGGGACUGAGACACGGCCCAGACUCCUACGGGAGGCAGCAGUAGGGAAUCUUGCGCAAUGGGCGAAAGCCUGACGCAGCGACGCCGCGUGCGGGAAGACGGCCUUCGGGUUGUAAACCGCUUUCAGGAGGGACGAAGCCACUCGGGUGAAUAGCCCAGAGGGUGACGGUACCUCCAGAAGAAGCCCCGGCUAACUACGUGCCAGCCGCCGCGGUAA